rnacentral:rRNA from 1 species
UACGAAGGGUGCAAGCGUUGUCCGGAAUUAUUGGGCGUAAAGAGCUCGUAGGCGGUUUGUCGCGUCUGCUGUGAAAACGCGAGGCUCAACCUCGCGCCUGCAGUCGAUACGGGCAGACUUGAGUGUUGCAGGGGAGACUGGAAUUCCUGGUGUAGCGGUGAAAUGCGCAGAUAUCAGGAGGAACACCGGUGGCGAAGGCGGGUCUCUGGGCAACAACUGACGCUGGAGGAGCGAAAGCGUGGGGAGCGAACAGG